GCCGCGGGAGCAUGGGGGAGCCGCCACACAAAGUGCUGGACGUGUGUGCGUGAGUAUCUGUGUGCGGUGGGGCGAAGGUGAAGCAUGCGAUGGCGAUGGCGAUGGUUGGCUUGGCUUGGCUGGCUCGGCUGGCUCGGCUGGCUCGGUUUGGCUUGACUUCGCUCUUGGCUCCGAAACACAGGCAAGUCGGCGACGCUGAUGGAAAAUAAGAGGAAAAAAAUAUAAAAUACGAAUAACCAGCAAAUGAACGAACCAGCGCCAGUCGGAGCAACAAAAAUGCUGAAUAAAAGCGUCGAGGCAAGAGGCACCAACGAGGACGUCGCUGGCGAUGGCGACUCUUGCAACUGAAACCAGGCUGGCAGGCUGGCAGUCAGGCAGCGGCAACAUCAGCAGGCUUAGCCCCAGACUAGGCCAAGAAAAAGAAAAUAAAAUGGGGAAAAUGACACCGAAAUGGGAAUACUCUGGGAGUCGAUCCAAGGGCGAUCGAAAAAAGUUUGGGCUCAUUGAUAUUUGGAGUAUUCCUUGCUAGGGAACAUAACAUCAUCAGAGCCAGAGCCAGAGCCAUAGAGACAGUCAUCGGCGGAGCUGGAGUUGGAGUCGGUCCUCGAGUCAGAGACGUUGUUGUCGUCAUCGCCGCACCGACUGCUCUGAGACCGGACCAGAAACGAGAAUAAGGCCGGGACCGAGAACCCAGAGCUGUCAGCCAUCCAAGCCGACGAUGAACAACCAACAACCAACAGCCAACAACGAACAACGACCACGGCAGCGACCGAGCCGAGCCAACAUUAAAGUUAAAGUAAAGUUGGAAUUUGUGCCUCAACGGGCGCUCGGUUCUCUACAUCCUUCCUCCCCCCAAGCCGCCUUUUGUAAUCAGAAUAAACGAAAAUUCGCUUAAGCCAAGCCAGGCACAGUGGAGUACAUUGUUGGACAAAGGUUGUUAAUUAAUGAAGGCCCAAUUGCUGGACUCGGAAAGUAAAGGUGUAUUAAAAAAUUAAAUUAACUAAAAAUUUAAAAAUAAGGUACAUUUCAUUGUAUUCUAGUAUCCGUAUUUUUGAUUGGAUGUUUUAUUUCUUCGACUAUCGUCCACACUAAUUGGAAGUUGGUAUGAUGUUCAAGAAAUAUUAUAUUUUUGUUUCCUGAAAUAAGAAAUCAUUUGUUGAAGAACCAAAAUUAAAUAUAGAAAUCCAAAGUUGA